UGUAAUCACGUUCUAACCUUUUGACCGCCAACUAAAAUGUCAUAAGCACGCUUUCGACAUCCGAGCGACUUUCAGAGGUCAGACGGAUAGCCCAAAAGGGUAUUCGUUGCAAUCCUCGAUCCCAAUCGUCACAUCUACCAAAGGCUAUAACACUCCGAUACAAGAUCAGAGCCACAUUCCUCCGAUCAUUUUAUGACGAUCAAAAUCGAUGUUGACUUACCAUACGGAAAAGUACACCUCAAAAGCACCAUAACGCAAGCAACGAAGGCCGUGAAGCUCAACGUCAUUC
rnacentral:rRNA from 1 species